rnacentral:tRNA from 1 species
GUGGGUAUAGCUCAAUGGUAGAGUGCAUACUUAGCAUGCAUGAGGUCCCAGGUUUAAUCCCCAGUACUGCCA